GCGAGAGUGGCGGAACGGUAGACGCACUGGCCUUAGGAGCCAGCGGCCCUAGGCUGUAGGGGUUCAAAUCCCCUCUCUCGCACCA
rnacentral:tRNA from 1 species